UUGCCCCUUCGAGACUUGCUUGACGUGCCUUUAAUGCAUAGGGAAUGUAGUCUCGAAAUUAACCGUAGCAGUCCAAUUUUGGAGAAAGCAGUCCAAUAAAUGAUAUCUUGAUGGUAGAACACCUAAUUUGAUAACAGCCCAAUAUUUAUAUUUUAUAGCAGCCCAAUAUCCGAAGUUCAUAGUAUAUCCAACGGCCCAUUUCUUUUUUCACCUUAAUUUUAACCAAGUUAAUUUCUUUCCAGAAUAUUUUGAAAGAAAUUAAACUUCAACACAUGUACAUUGAAUAUGCAGAUCGACACAUGUACGUCACUUUUUGCUUUUGCGAAUUAGAUUUUCAUCAACUUUGGCUAAUCUCCAUUCAACCAAGCGUCUACAUGGACUUCUGGAGUGAUAUUAUUCGUCCCACUAUACUCGCAAUUUCAUCAGCAUGGGACUCUAGUCAUAACAUCAACCACAAAAUCACAACAGGACUUGAAUGAAACAAAUUUUGAACCACAGAUACACUCAAAUUCAUCCCUAUCCCCGGCAUUCCACAACUAUAAAUAGUUACUCCAUGUUAGUUGCUUUGCAUCCUCAAUCGUCCAAGAGUAGCACAAUAGCCUUCAGGAUGUCGCCUCAGGCACGUCUUUGUCGCUGUCACAAGGUUAAAUGUCACCAAGCGCGUGCUCCGACACGUUGUUGUCGUCGACGGGGAUGCUAAUGGCUGUCGACAAUGACACCAUUUGGAGGAUGGCUGUCGACAAUGACACCAUUUGGAGGGAUGGCUGUCGACAAUGACGCCAUUUGGAGAGGAAAGCUAUUGGAUGGUCGCCGUGCUCCGACGAGUUGCCGUUGAACUAACAUCGCAAUGGAGAAACAUCACCUCGAUUCUGCUCUUCUGGAAUUGGAGACUCAUACAAAAUGAAUUGAUUAUUGCCUUACUUUCACAUGUCCCGGGAGUUUUAUGUUCACCACAGAACUAUUGUCGAAGGACUUGACGGAGAGGAAGGCCUGUUGGGACGUCAGUGUCGCUUCAAACGCAACUACGGCGUUUAAAAAAACGUGAAACCCCUCUUCCCAGCCAAGUAAGGUGUUGCCUCAUCGCUUUGGGAAAAAAAAAAAAAAUUCCGCUGCAUGACUGUUUGAUUUUCGCCAUGCUUGAACAUAUGUGCUAUGUUUUCUCUUAUUGAACUUCCUACUGAAAUAUGUAUGCAUUGAGAGUCUGGGAAGAGUGUAUAUAUUGAGAGUAGAGGACCAAGCAUCGCUUGGGCAGUGC